rnacentral:rRNA from 1 species
GACGAACGCUGGCGGCGUGCUUAACACAUGCAAGUCGAACGGAAAGGCCCUGCUUUUGUGGGGUGCUCGAGUUGCGAACGGGUGAGUAACACGUUAGUAACCUGCCCUUUACUUUGUGAUAACUUCAGGAAACUGGGGCUAAUACCGGAUAGGAGCUCCUGCUGCAUGGUGGGGGUUGUAAAGUUUCGGCGGUUGGUGAUGGACUCGCGGCUUAUCAGCUUUUUGUUGGGGUAGUUGCUUACCAAGGCUUUGACGGGUAGCCGGACUGAGAGGGUGACCGGCCAAAUUGGGAAUGAGAUACGGCCCAGAAUCAUAAGGGAGGAAGCAGGGGGGAAUAUGGAAAAAUGGGAGGAAGAAUGAGGCAGAAAAGAGGCGUGAGGGAUGACGGCCUUAGGGUUGUAAAAAGAUUUAGAAGGUGAAGAAGAGUGAGUGAAGGUAAUGGGUAAAGAAGCAACGGAUAAAUAAGUG